GACCACCUCUCUAGGAAACCUGUUCCAGUGUGUGAUCACCCUCUCUGUAAAGAAAUGCUUCCUGAUGUCCAGUCUGAACCUCCCCUGGUACAGCUUUGAGCCAUUCCCACGCAUCCUAUUGCUGGAUACCAGGAAGAAGAGAAAAGCACUCUAAUGACCACGAUGAAAUCAAGAUUCUGGAACACAGCAUGGAGACAUCUGGACAAAAGAGCAUGGAACUCUGACAUGACCUUAACAGCUUAAGCAGAGGUUAGCAGCAACACCAGCAUCAGAAAGCCAGCUCAACUACACUUCCUCUAUCACACAUCAAUCAGCCGAACAAAAGCAUAAAGAACAUACAACAUGUGAAAAAAAAUAAAGGAAGAUGUGCUUUGAAGAAAGACUCCACAUUUGUGGGAAAGAGAUGGAACAGGGUCUGGGAAGAAGCCACAUCAGCACAUUUCUGCACUGCUUAAAUCAGAACUGUGACACACCGGGAACAAAUCAUAAGAAAUCCUUCCUCUUGAAGAAUCUAAAUUUGAGCAUGAGGGAUGAGUAUAUCAAUAAAGUAAUAAAUACUGAUAACACUAACCAUUACUAUCCAUUUUUAAUUCAUGCAUCAUUGUAAAAAGCAACAAAUAGACUCCAUAAGACUCACUCAA